ACAAGGAUUCCCCUAGUAACGGCGAGUGAAGCGGGAACAGCUCAAAUUUAAAAUCUGCGGCGUUUUUCGUCGUAGAAUUGUAGUUAAGAGAAGUGWUUUCCCCGGGAUGCCCGCCGGCCUAAGUUGCUUGGAACAGCACGUCAUAGAGGGUGAGAACCCCGUCUGUGGCUCGGUGGGCACCUGGCAUGAUGCACUUUCGACGAGUCGGGUUGUUUGGGAAUGCAGCCCUAACUGGGUGGUAAACUCCAUCUAAAGCUAAAUAUUGCCACGAGACCGAUAGCGAACAAGUACCGUGAGGGAAAGAUGAAAAGCACUUUGAAAAGAGAGUUAAAAGCACGUGAAACCGUUGAAAGGGAAACGCGCUCGGCUAGCAAUGUGCUCCGACGGUUCAGCCGGUUUGAGGGUGGAGGUUGUCGUUGUCGGAUCCGAAUGGACCGCGGCGGCAGCCGUCCGCCUUCGAGCCGCGGUGCACUCUGUCGGAGUACGCGUCAGCGUCGGUUCGUUCCAGGCGAUAAGGCACGGAGGGAAGGUAGCUCGGGCUUGCCCGAGCAUUAUAGCCGCCUGUGCUGGGUCUGGAGCGGACCGAGGAGAGAGAGGAUCGCUGCAGCGCAUGCCGCAAGGCUAGCUGCCCGUCGCUCGGUGUGCUUCACGGGCUGAGGACUGCACGCAGUGUUCGGCUUGGCGGAGUGGCCAGGUGGUGGAGCAGUAUAAAUGCGCUUAGGACGCUGGCGUCCAAAUGGCCGUGCGCGACCCGUCUUGAAACACGGACCAAGGGAGUCUAACAUGUGCGCGAGUCUUUGGGUGUAGAAACCCGUGGGCGCAAUGAAAGUGAAGGUCCUGCUUGCAGGGCUGAGGUGAGAGCCGGUGCUGCGGCGGUCGGUGCAUCAUCGACCGGUCUAGUCUUCUCUAAGGUGGAUCCGAGUAAGAGCGUAUUUGUUGGGACCCGAAAGAUGGUGAACUAUGCCUGAAUAGGGUGAAGCCAGAGGAAACUCUGGUGGAGGCUCGUAGCGAUUCUGACGUGCAAAUCGAUCGUCAAAUUUGGGUAUAGGGGCGAAAGACUAAUCGAACC
rnacentral:rRNA from 1 species